GAGAUCUUAAGUUAUAUAAACUAUCGCCCUUCAAAGGCGGAAUAGGGGGACCAGAUCUUU
rnacentral:tRNA from 1 species